rnacentral:rRNA from 1 species
AUGGGACGUGCUGCCAGUGACUAAUAAGUUUAACGGCCGCGGUACUCUGACCGUGCAAAGGUAGCAUAAUCACUUGUCCUAUAAUUGAGGACUUGUAUGAAUGGUUUGACAAGAACAAUACUGUCUCUUAAAAAUUUUCUAAAAUUUGGUUUUUAGGUGAAGAAACCUAAAUAAUAUUGAAAGACAAGAAGACCCUAUCGAGCUUAAAAAAUACGUUAAUUAUUUAACAAAACUAAAACUAACGAAAUAAAUUGGUUGGGGCGACUAAGGAACAAACAAAGCUUCCUUUAAUAUACAAAACUUAUAUGUAAUGAUCCAAAACAUUUGAUUAAAAAAAUUAGUUACCGUAGGGAUAACAGCAUAAUCUUUUUAGAGAGAACAUAUCGAAAAAAAGGUUUGUGACCUCGAUGUUGGACUAGGAUAUCCCAAUAUUAUUGCAGAAGUCUUUAAUGGUUAGUCUGUUCGACUAAUAAAAUCCUACGUGAUCUGAGUUCAGACCGGCGGGAGGGA